CAAUGGGGGAACCCUGNAUGCAGCGACGCCGCGUGGAGGAAGAAGGUCUUCCGAUUGUAAACUCCUGUUGUUGAGGAAGAUAAUGACGGUACUCAACAAGGAAGUGACGGCUAACUACGUGCCAGCAGCCGCGGUAAAACGUAGGUCACAAGCGUUGUCCGGAAUUACUGGGUGUAAAGGGAGCGCAGGCGGGAGAACAAGUUGGAAGUGAAAUCCAUGGGCUCAACCCAUGAACUGCUUUCAAAACUGUUUUUCUUGAGUAGUGCAGAGGUAGGCGGAAUUCCCGGUGUAGCGGUGGAAUGCGUAGAUAUCGGGAGGAACACCAGUGGCGAAGGCGGCCUACUGGGCACCAACUGACGCUGAGGCUCGAAAGUGUGGGUAGCAAACAGGAUUAGAUACCCUGGUAGUCCAAGGGCGAAUUC
rnacentral:rRNA from 1 species